UUGUUGCGGUUAAAACGUUCGUAGUUGAAUUUGUGUCCCACACGGGUAAUUGGCCCACUUACGGGUUCUUAUUACUUGCCGGCUUGCUGGCUUUAGUGUGCGGACGUUUUACCGGUGAGGGAAACGGUGUAGUUUCGGCUGCAAUACGCCCCUUAUUUAUUUCAUAAACCCGUCUUGGUGCUUUUAAUCGAGUGCCAAUGUGGGCCGGUACUAUUACUUUGAACAAAUUAGAGUGCUUAAAGCAGGCUAAAUUUAAUGAAAGUUAAAACGCCUGAAUAUAUUUUGCAUGGAAUAAUGGAAUAGGACCUCUGUUCUACUUUCAUUGGUUUUUAGACCAAGAGGUAAUGAUUAAUAGAAGCAGUUGGGGGCAUUAGUAUUACGAGGCGAGAGGUGAAAUUCGUAGACCCUCGUAAGACUAACUUAAGCGAAAGCAUUUGCCAAGGAUGUUUUCAUUAAUCAAGAACGAAAGUUAGAGGAUCGAAGGCGAUCAGAUACCGCCCUAGUUCUAACCAUAAACGAUGCCAGCUAGCAAUUGUAUGUAGCUACUAAUUUUGGUUCAUACAGUCGCUUUCCGGGAAACCGAAGCUUUUGGGCUCCGGGGGAAGUAUGGUUGCAAAGCUGAAACUUAA
rnacentral:rRNA from 1 species